UACAGAGGUCUCGAGCGUUGUUCGGAUUCAUUGGGCGUAAAGGGUGCGUAGGUGGCGCCGUAAGUCGGGUGUGAAAUUUCGGAGCUUAACUCCGAAACUGCAUUCGAUACUGCGGUGCUUGGGGACUGGAGAGGAGACUGGAAUUCAUGGUGUAGCAGUGAAAUGCGUAGAGAUCAUGAGGAAGACCAGUGGCGAAGGCGGGUCUCUGGACAGUUCCUGACACUGAGGCACGAAGGCCAGGGGAGCAAACGGG
rnacentral:rRNA from 1 species